GAUGAAGAACGUAGCGAAAUGCGAUAAGUAAUGUGAAUUGCAGAAUUCAGUGAAUCAUCGAAUCUUUGAACGCACAUUGCGCCCCUUGGUAUUCCGAGGGGCAUGCCUGUUCGAGCGUCAUUAUCACCCCUCAAGCUCAGCUUGGUGUUGGGGCCUGCCGCACGGGCAGCCCUUAAAAUCAGUGGCGGUGCCAUCUGGCUCUAAGCGUAGUAAUUCUUCUCGCUAUAGAGUCCCGGUGGAUGCUUGCCAUUAACCCCCAAUUUUCUAUGGUUGACCUCGGAUCAGGUAGGGAUACCCGCUGAACUUAAGCAUAUCAAUAAGCGGAGGA
rnacentral:misc_RNA from 1 species